rnacentral:antisense_RNA from 1 species
CAUUAUGAAAAACUGAACACAUUUAUUCAAUUUCCAACAAUCACCAAUUCGAAAUGGGCUUAAAUGACAAUACAAAGAAAGCUAUAAGCAAACAUUUUGACAGGGGGAAUGUGAAGAAUUAGAACAAACUGCUUAGGAAACUACAGUGUGUCUGUGUUUGUGUCGUGUGUGUGUGCAGAUACUGUCUCUUUACACACAGAAGUACAAUGCUUGCAUCUUGGUACACAGACUUUGUGAUAGGUUUUUUUCCUUGUCAUGAGCCUUUUUGCCAUGAAGGAGCCAGUGUGGGAAAGUGGUUAAGAACAGGAGUUCUCAAGUCAAAUUGCUGGGGUCUGAAUCUCGACUCUCCAUCAUUAGUUGUGUGACAUAUGCAAAGGACUUAUCACUGAGAAUGGCACAUG